AUUGAACGCUAGCGGCAUGCUUAACACAUGCAAGUCGAACGGAGUGGCGGACGGGUGAGUAAUAUAUCGGAACGUGCCCAGUAGCGGGGGAUAACUACUGGAAAGAGUAGCUAAUACCGCAUACCAUCGGAGCUGCCGAUAUGGGAUUAGCUAGUUGGUGGGGUAACGGCUCACCAAGGCCACGAUCCGUAGCUGGUCUGAGAGGACGACCAGCCACACUGGAACUGAGACACGGCCCAGACUCCUACGGGAGGCAGCAGUGGGGAAUAUUGGACAAUGGGCGAAAGCCUGAUCCAGCCAUGCCGCGUGUAUGAUGAAGGCCUUCGGGUUGUAAAGUACUUUCAGCGGAGAAGCGUUACCUGCAGAAGAAGCACCGGCUAACUACGUGCCAGCAGCCGCGGUAAUAC
rnacentral:rRNA from 1 species